GCCCGCCGCCCCCGCUCCCAGCAGCCCUUGCAGCCGCCUACAAUGAAAUUUGCGAAGUUUUUUCGGUUUCGGCGCCAUUUUCGAGUGGACUCGGAGGAUUCGGACUUCCAGAUCUGUCCUGUGUUGUUUAAAACUGGAUGAGAUGACAAUGCAAAAAAUGGAAGUAACAAGAAGCAUCAUACUUUUCUUCUGUUCAGCAGUGUUGAGAAAAAACUGUGGAUCCUGGAAUUUUACUGUGGAUUUUACUGGUUUUCUGGAGUACUUUCCUGUUGAAACAGAAAUUGCCCUGUGUCAAGCGAGAAUCACUUGCCAGGAGGACCUGAUGCGUCUUUGCGCUCAGUCAAAGGUGAGUUGGGAAGGUGAGUUUACGUGCCUGCCCACUUGGAACUGCUUGUAGUAUCCCCAUUCCCGGCACUCUGGAUAAAUGGAAAGCCCUCAGAAGUGCGUAUUCUCUUUGGGUGCUGCGGUUAACACCCAGAGGAGGCAGAGAGAAAACUCUUAGAUCAUACUUUUCAGUUACCAUCGCUCUGAUUUUAAUACUGAGGAUCCAAAACGCAAACAAAGUUUGAAAAAAUCCUGAAAGAAACUGAAGUGUGAAGUAGAAUGCUUCAAACACAUAGCUUUGUAUUGUUUAAAAUAGUUACUCUCUUAGCAUAAAUUCACGUAUUUUCUCAGAUCUAUAUUUUACUGCCUAUCCCAAAUUGCCCAUUGCUCAAUAUUCAGUGUGAGUGUUGGUCUUCUCUGUGUCGGAAAAAAGGUUGGUGAAUGUGUAUUGAACCCUCACUUUGGAAAGUCACGCUUGCUUAGGAGAGAGCUCUUUGCCCCCCUUGUCGAACUAGGUGAAAGACUGAUUGUAUAUAAACAUUCAUUAAAACAUGAACCUCAAACACAAUCAGAAUGGAUUAUAGAACUAAGCUUGUUUGCUGUUGCCUUUUUUCUUUUUUUAAGUCACUUUAAGAGAUGAAAGAAAUAAGACUACACAGGUACAGUCAAGUAGAACAUUGUUACAGAAACAAAAUGAAGGGUAAAAUUAUGUGGAGGCUUAUUUUGUUUUAGCUUAUCCAGGUUUAACUUUCUCUUUGUACUUGUUUGUUUCUUUGCAGUAAGUAGCAAUUGCUCUUUAGAGAGCUGGAACUGGUGCUAUCAGUAUUGAGGACACUGAAGUGGAGAAAAAAUAGUGCUUUUUUUAGUUGGCAAAUAUUUAAUUUAAAAACUUGCAAUAAUCUGGCACAGGUCAUAAGAGCUUUCGAAAUUCCUAUUUUUAAGUUUGCUAAAAGGCAGAGACUAGGAGGUGGACAAACUGAAACUCGGAUAACCAGUGUGUUCAGAGACAGCACAAACAUUUGAACCCAAUAGCACCAUUUCUGACAUUGUUCAGUUUUUUGUGAUGCUGCUUUUUAAGAAAAUGAAUUGAAGGAAGUUGUCACAUAACUGAAAAAAAAGUCAAAAGGAAACACAAAUAUGUCAGGCUAUCUGCUUCUGUACUGGUACUCACAUGCUGACGUGUAACUGCCUCUGUUGGCCCUGCACUUGAAAGUUACAGCCUUGUUUGUGCUCUUUUCUGCCCUGCAGUUAUUUUCUUCCCUUCUGGUAUGGGCAAGGGAGGCAGUGAAGUACCAGGGUAUUUUCCAUUUCUGGUAACUUGAGUUUUGUCAUUCAAACAGGGAAUGAGCAUGAUCUAAUCUUAAAAAAAAAAAAAAAAAAAAAAAAAAAAAAAAAGUUGGGGUUUUUUGAUUUUUGUUUUUUUAAGAUGUCUCAAAAGUCAAAAUGAUCCAAAUCAAAAUAACUUUUGGAAAGCAUAGAACAGUUUUGCACCGUAGGAAUUUGGACUUGUGUUCAGCAGCCCCAAAGAGGGAGGUACAAGGUAGCAUUUCCCAAGAGAGCACUUGGAAGGGCCAGGAAGGUCUGCGAGAUCUUUACAGUAGAUCGGCACAUCCGCUAGAUCUGGAAGUGUAGGUUUGCUGGAGCCCAAGUGUUAAGUAUGUUUGGGGGCUGGGGAUAAUGGCUUAUUUCUGAUUUUGUUUCUGAAACCGGUUUGUUUACUCUGUGUAACUGCUUGUUCUUUUAUAGUUACAGACUUUCUGAUAGCACCCGUGAAGAAAAAAAAUGUCCAGUGAUGGUAAUGCAUGCACAUUAAAUAUCUUCAUUGUAGAGUGUUCUUCAGUACCUUAUAUCAUGGUUUAAAAAAAAAAUCAAAAUACCAUUUGGAAUGUCAACAUUCAGUGGGCUUUGAGGAGAUGUAGCAGCACAUCAUGGUUUGUAGGGACAAGGAGAUACAGACCAUUCUGGGCUGCCUCAUUACCUCAAGGAUAAGACAAGAAAGUGAGCUUCUGGUUAUCAUAGAUGUGGAAGCUAACACAUUCCCCUGUAUCUCUUUAGUUCAGUUGAACAGGUACGUGUAGAUAAGUUUUCUCGAUGCUUGUGUCUGUGCACUUCCUUUGCAGCUGCAAAUACAUACUGUAUGAAUUUGUGCUUGUGUGUGUCUGAACGGGGCUGGGCCUGCAGGCAGGAAGGACUUUCAGCUCCUUUUUGUUGUUUUCCAACGUGGGCAUGGCUCGAUCUUGGCUGGAGCACAAUGCCUUCAGCUGGCUUCUUACCCCUCGCGUAUUGUUCGAGGUAGCGCUCCUGCCGGCCCGUCCUUUCCCCGGCAGAGGGUUUGCCAGGUACUGCGUUACCCCGCGUGCAGGGGGGUCUGGAGGCCGCGGAGAGGCGCUAGGAUGGAAAGCUGUCAGCAGUGCUCUAGCAGCACGUAAAUACUGGAGUUUGGGAUUGCCUGUUGCUCUCCAGUAUUGCAUUGCUGCUUUAGUGAGGCUGGAAAUCGGUCCCUGCUGCAGGAGCCAGGGCUGCGGCUCGGGGGGCGCCUGGGGGCCGCGCAGCCUCCUCGACGCAGUGCCCGGGGCCUUCCCUGCUGCUGGUCGGGCCUGGGGCUCCCCUCUCCCUGCACGAAUAAACCACUGCGGAGGCAGCAAGCAA